rnacentral:misc_RNA from 1 species
GUCAAGGAGGUUCAUGACCUCAGGAUGUGGUCCCUGUCAAUGAACAAAAUUGCAAUAGCCGUACAUCUGGCAGUCGAGAAGGACAGAGAUCCAAUGGAUGUGCUGAGGAUAAGUACCCGCAUAGUCCGAAAGAAGUUCGGUAUAUCGGAGAGCGUGAUUCAGAUUGAGGAGUAUCAUCCUACUAUGUCUGAAUGCAAUGAAUGCCAGGAUCCGCCCGACUAAUGACGUUACAUCAAUACGGCCUAAAAAAAGUUGUGUGUUUAGGGUAACCCAACCUAACCUACAAAAAUGCCCCGAUCCUACCAUUUUUAGAUGUCUGUUUUUAUCCGUUCGUGAAUUUUAUAUUAUUUCUAUUAAAAAUCCGUUUUUAAAUAUGACACAAACAAACACUCUUAGGAUUCAAUGCUGAAAAAAAAUAUGAUAAAAUAAAAAGAAUCCCUACCUACAUAACCUAAUUUUUUCAUCAGUGUUACCCUAAUUACACACAUUUUUUUUAUAGGCCUAAACAAGCUAGUCCACUAUUUAUACACAUGUAUUAUAAUGGGUGAAAGGAGUUCAGAACGAAGUUUCAAAUGAGAUUAUAAAUCAACAUUUAGCAAGUGAAAAAAAAAAUUGUUUGGCUGGUCGCAUGUACAAAUUGUGUCGAAGACUUAAUUGGUAGCGUUGCGCUGCACUGCAUGUUUUGUUUUUGUUUGUUUUAAAUUGCAAUAAUUUAAGUGAAUAUAAUCAUAUAUGUGUUCAUGUUUGUCCAAUGACGAAUCAGUCAUACGGUUAAUAAUAAGAGUUAUGUAUAUAUAUAUACAUGUAUAUGUAUUAAAUUAAAUGCAAUAAUAAAUGUCAUCGCCG